rnacentral:rRNA from 1 species
ACGAACGCUGGCGGCAGGCCUAACACAUGCAAGUCGAACGCCCUAGCAAUAGGGAGUGGCAGACGGGUGAGUAACGCGUGGGAACCUUCCCUGUGGUGCGGAAUAACUCGCCGAAAGGCGUGCUAAUACCGCAUAAGCCCGCAAGGGGAAAGAUUUAUCGCCAUAGGAUGGGCCCGCGUAGGAUUAGCUAGUUGGUGAGGUAAUGGCUCACCAAGGCGACGAUCCUUAGCGGUUUGAGAGAAUGACCAGCCACACUGGGACUGAGACACGGCCCAGACUCCUACGGGAGGCAGCAGUGGGGAAUCUUGGACAAUGGGCGCAAGCCUGAUCCAGCCAUGCCGCGUGAGUGACGAAGGCCUUCGGUUG